CAAUUAUAAUGGCUCCUUCAGUGGGGGUAAUGGUUAUGGUGGGAAAGAAUCACACAUGAGAGUGUCAUCCGAACCCUCACAGUCAAUCCUUCAGACCUCAGCUAAGGUGCUACCCUUAGGGCCUGAUCAGCAGCAGUGUGGCCAUAAUAUGCAAGACCAAGGCAGCAUGAAAUCUAACCAACAGGUCCAGUCAAGUGGGAGCCAUUAGAGGCAGCAACAACCCCAUUUCCUUAAGUGUAGGAGGCAUCAUCUAGGGGUGUGUCCUAAGGGCAUUGACAAGUGUUUCGGGUACGGAGUUAAGGGACAUAAGCUUAGGCACUGCCUCAACAACUGAAGAGCAACAAGUAAUUCCUUAACCCCCUUUUGUUCUAUGAUGUAUGUGGAUAGGUGUGACCAUUUAAUUUCAUGCCAUGGAAGACUGACCAUGGGGUGAUACUUUCUUUAAUGUUUAGACCUCCAAACUCGGUAAGUUUUACUCACACAAAAAUGAUCAGGUGAGAUGGGAAUGAGAUAUAAGGUGUUUACAAAUGCUUACAACAUGAGCUAAGUGCUUAGAAAGGAUGUUUUUAUAUUGAGUAUGGGGUAUGUCAGCAUGUUACCUAUGUACGUUAGAGAUGUGGAGUCGAGGGGUAUCAAUUAAGCUAUUUCCCUAUCAACCUAAUGUCGUUAAGUGAGUCAAAUCAGAAUUUCUACUCAUUGUUUAUGUACAUCUAUUUUGAAGAGUUCCAUAAACGUGGUCCUAAUAAGGUGCUAAAUAACAAAACAUCUCGUGUAUCAACUCUUUGAAUGGGGUGUAUUAUUUAUAUAGUCUCCCAAUCACAGUUUUAUUAUUCACAACCUCCUAUGGAAUUGGGCCCUAUAAGUACGAUCAUGAAUUGAGUUAUAAC
rnacentral:lncRNA from 1 species